GCCAAACCCCACACCUGCAUAUAAGCAACAGGAAUUUUAGUUUCAAAAAAUCUCAGUUGAUGAUAGUUCUUUCCGGUAUGCGUAGGAGAUGCUUUUAUUGCUAAGCUUAGAAAUUUUAAACAAUGCUAGAAAUUUUACCACUCCGAUUGUAAGCUUGAUAAAAAAACAAAACAAAUCAACAAAUACUUAUGCAUGGCAUUAUCUUGAUCAUCAAAAAUUAGAUUUGAAGAAAAUGAUGCAUCACAUUUCUGUAGGACUAAUUAAAUUCUAUUCCUGUAAGGAUUAAUAAGAUAUUUAAAACAUAUCAUUAGUAAUAACAUAAUUGUGCCUCUCAGUAAAAAAUAAUUUUUCAAGAAUUUUUUAUGAGAAAAAUAUAAUCAUAGAGUUGGGGCAUGCUAUGCAAGCAGCUUUGCAUGACAACCAUCAUAUCCCUUGUACAAGGAUAUGGUAGUAAAACUAAACAAGAACCACAAGCAAUCUUAAUAGAGAAAUUCUUUUUCUCCCCCCAACCCCUAGCGCAUGAAAGAAAAAGAAAAUAUGGGAUUAGUUAGAUCCUUUGAAUUACCUUUUUAAAUAUUAGAUAAUGAUUAGACUAGUUUUCGAGAAGAAAUACGAAAAAUUGACAACUUUUAAAAAUAUAAGAUAAUUUGUUUGUCAGGCACUUCCUUUUGACACUAUACUCAAUCAUAGCCUUGUUGAUUAGGUUUUAUCUUUUAUUAUUUGAAUGCGGAUCCCAUGCACAUCAUAAUCCAAAACCAAGAUAAGGUGGGCAUAUCAUACAAUAUUUUCUAAUAAUAAUAAUAA
rnacentral:lncRNA from 1 species